AAACGCUCUGGAGCAGGUUAAGGUUUACCUUGCAACAGGACAAAGACCCCAAGACAAUAAAGGAGUGGCUUCUGGACACUCUGAAUGUCCUUGAGUGACCCAGCAAGAGCCUGGACUUGACCCGAUCGAACAUCUCUGGAGAGGCCUGGAAAUAGCUGUGCAGCGACACUCCCCAUCCAACCUGACAGAGCUUGAGAGGAUCUGCAGAAAAUAAUGGGAGAAACUCCCCAAAUGCAGGUGUGUCAUACCCAAGAAGACUCUGCUGUAAUCUCUGCCAAUGGUGCUUCAACAAUGUAUUUAGUAAAGGGUCUGAAUACUUAAGUAAAUGUGAUAUUUCACUUUUUAUAAAUUUGCAAAAAUGGCUAACCUGUUUUUGCUUUGUCACUGGUGUAUUGUGUUUAGAUUGGGGGGGGGUGAUUUAAUCAAAUUUAGAAUAAGGCUGUAACGUAACAAUGUGGAAAAAGUGAAGGGGUCUGAGUAGUUUCCGAAUAUAAUCCAUCUGAACCUGACAUCUUGUCAUGAUUACACGUCGAAUAUUACCGUUCCCAUUGCUGUACAGUGCCUGUGCAUCAUUAUAUGGCAUCUUAUAGUUGGAUGAAAUAAUGUGUUCUUUGCAACUGAAUUCAUAUUGAAUUUGCUUGAAGUGGAGCCUCAUUUAAGUCUGCCAUCCUCGUGCACUCUUAUUUUAGAAUUAUUACUUUCAAUGACGGACACAAAGUGUGACCAAUAUUAUUUUUCUAUUGUAUUCAACUUUUUCUUACAAGUAUUCAGACUUUAAAAGUAUCUACUUUAAAUUAUAUUCGCAGUUGUAACAUUACUUGUUAUUAGUAUGAUUGAGGACAACUGACUCAAACUAUGCUGUAUGAAAAGCCAACAUUUGUCUACACAUGUGCAUUUGAAAUGGUUCUGUCUUAUUACCCAAUUUUUGUUUUGCCAAGUAUUAUGUUUUCCAAUCAAAGGAGAUUGGGAUAUGUCCAAUAACCUUUCAAAGGAAAAACAAAACAGUGUAUUCAGCAUAUUAAAUGAAAAAUGGUGAUUCCCAAUUGUGUGCUUUUGUCAUAUUUGAAUCUGGUUUGUCUAGACUAAUCAUAACUCUGAAAAAAUCUAAGUUUGAAGAAAAUGAUUAAUUUGGCUGUAAUUAUUUUUCUGUGACUUGAUUACAUUUCUUAGCAUCUAUUAAAGGUUAGUCUUGGCUCCAGAA
ensembl:lncRNA